GACGAAUGCUGGCUGCGUGCUUAACACAUGCAAGUCGAACGGUGAAAGGGAGCUUGCUCCCUGGAUCAGUGGCGAACGGGUGAGUAACACGUGGGCAACCUGCCCCUCACUCUGGAUAACUCCGGGAAACCGGGGCUAAUACCGGAUACGACCUGGUGCGGCAUCGCACCGGGUGGAAAGAACUUCGGUGAGGGAUGGGCCCGCGGCCUAUCAGCUUGUUGGUGGGGUAACGGCCCACCAAGGCGACGACGGGUAGCCGGCCUGAGAGGGCGACCGGCCACACUGGGACUGAGACGCGGCCCAGACUCCUACGGAAGGCAGCAGUGGGGAAUAUUGCGCAAUGGGCGAAAGCCUGACGCAGCGACGCAGCGUGAGGGACGAAGGCCUUCGGGUUGUAAACCUCUUUCAGCGGGGACGAAGCGAAAGUGACGGUACCCGCAGAAGAAGCACCGGCUAACUACGUGCCAGCAGCCGCAGUAAAAC
rnacentral:rRNA from 1 species